rnacentral:rRNA from 1 species
GGAUUAGAUACCCUGGUAGUCCAUGCCGUAAACGUUGGGCGCUAGGCGUGGGCCUCAUUCCACGAGGUCCGUGUCGAAGCUAACGCAUUAAGCGCCCCGCCUGGGGAGUACGGCCGCAAGGCUAAAACUCAAAGGAAUUGACGGGGGCCCGCACAAGCGGCGGAGCAUGCUGAUUAAUUCGAUGCAACGCGAAGAACCUUACCAAGGCUUGACAUGCACCGGACAGCCCCAGAGAUGGGGUCUUCUUCGGACUGGUGCACAGGUGGUGCAUGGUUGUCGUCAGCUCGUGCCG